UACGUAGGGGGCUAGCGUUGUCCGGAAUCAUUGGGCGUAAAGAGCGUGUAGGCGGUCCGGUAAGUCCGCUGUGAAAGUCGGGGGCUCAACCCUCGAAUGCCGGUGGAUACUGUCGGGCUCGAGUCCGGAAGAGGCGAGUGGAAUUCCUGGUGUAGCGGUGAAAUGCGCAGAUAUCAGGAGGAACACCAAUGGCGAAGGCAGCUCGCUGGGACGGUACUGACGCUGAGACGCGAAAGCCAGGGGAGCAAACGGG
rnacentral:rRNA from 1 species